CUCGUUGUUUACAUCCCGGUCGCGAAGAGGGCACGCUUGUGAGUGGAAUAUGUGAGAUUUUGUAUAUGAGAGUGUUUUAGGAUAUUUAUACUGAUCGGCAUACAGUUGUAUAGCAAACAACUAGAUCCUCUGUAUGUAGGCAAUUGGUCAAUAGUGGCAUCUAUGGAGGAAGAUUUCCCCCCGUGGUGGCACAGAGAAGAAGACCUCCGAGGCGAAACCAUCAAAGACUCAUGAAGUGGACAAUCUUUUCAAGAAUCUGAAGGUUGGCACUCUGAUGCUGGGUUGUGUGAAGGAAGUGUCAGACUUUGAGAUCGUGGUCGGUCUCCCAAGCGGCCUUGUUGGAUAUCUGCCAAUCUGCAACAUCUGUGAUUUUAGAGGAAGUUGUCACCCUUUCUGGACUCCUGACUCCUGGAAUGCUGUUCAGAGGUGUUACACAGAGGCUACAAGAGUCCAAAAUGAAUAAUAUCCCAGAUGCACUUUAUUGUUUUACCAAAAUUCUAAUAAUAACCAAAACAAAAAAAGAAAACUUGUUGCAUAAUGCAGUACUUUUAACUGUAAACAAGCCCGAAACACACUGGAGUCCCCAUGAGGUGUAAAUGAUUGUUUUUUUAUUUCACCUCUAGAGGCCGCUGUAUACUGUUGAACCAAGUUAAAACCACCCUAAUAAUUUAUAAAUUAUAAAUAUUUAUUCAUAUCAAUAGUUUAAAUAAAAUAGUUUAACAAUAUGUAAAUUAUUAUUUGUAUGUGUGUGUUUAUACAAUAUAAUAAUAAUAGUAACGUACAGUAUGUGAUAAUAUAUAAUUAUAAUAAUAUAACACACUCUUUUAACCCAUAAUGUUUUAGCUAUAAUGCUCAGUCCUACUAGUUAAAAUGUGUAUCUAUUAUGUGUAUUUAUACAUGUGUAUAUAUUAUGCUUUUUAAACAUGUAUCUAAUAUUUUAAAAGGUGUAUCUAAUUACAUUAUGGUAUAUUAUGCCAUUAACAUCUUCCCCUCUAAUCAGUGAUCAGUGGCACUAAAGCUUUCCUGCCCAAAAAGAGCACAUCAUCAGAGCAAAAUCCAGCACCACAACAUUUGAUUUCAUAAACAGUUUAACACAGUUCAAUGUAAAUAUUAACAUAAACUCUAGAUCCUGUUGGUUUAAAGUCAUGCCUGGACCAGGACAGAAGCAUCAUUGUGAACUUGUGAAUGAUUGUGAGUGUACUGUUGAUCUCAGGUUUGAAAGUGGGCCAGUAUGUGUUGACCCUGAUAGAGGAGGUGAAGAAUGAUGGGUGUGUCGUGCAACUGUCUAUGAACCCUCAAGCUCUGGGUAAGGCCUGUGCAGAGACUAACCUUUAAAUAUCAGCGUCUGAUAUUUAAAGGUGCACUCGUGCAGCAGUAUGCGAUCAUUUAUUACCCAAAUAUGAUUCUAUUUACCAUAUAGAACUCUAAAAGUCAUUCUUUGGGUAUGCCUUUCAUGAUUGUAAUAAAACACAUUAAAAAAUAUAUAUUUUUAGUUUGUGUAUAUGUUGAUAGUGAAAGUGUCUUUUGAACAAGUUAUGAACAUUCAGCUAACUUCUCACUCAUGAUUCUUGGCUCAUUUCAAGACAACGCGGAGAGUCCCACGUGCCAACCACAUUGCUGAUUCAGUGAGUUGUCAACUCUAGCACCGCUGCGACCAGAUCGUUCUAAAUCAUGAAUUAAUUGUUCAGUCGGUUUUGCAAUCCAACUCAACCAAUUCGUUGAAAAGAAUCAGCUCAAAAGAAUGAGUCGUUUCAUUUUUAAUCGUAUCAUGACAAAUCGCUUUCAUCACAAAUCGGAAGUCACUAUUAUUUGCUUUGUAACUUCGAAAUAGCGAGGAACGUCAGUAGUUUCUCAAAAUGAAAAUAAUCUGAGCAAGAACAGAUACUUAAAGGAAUAUUCCAGGUUCAAAACAAGUUGAGCUCAGUUGACAGCAUUUGUGCUAUACUGUUCAUCACCACAAAAAUUUAUUUCGAUGUGACCCACCUUUUCUAAAAAAAAAAGCAUAACUUGAGGUCACAGUGAGGCACUUACAAUGGAAGUGAAGGGGGCCAAUUCGUAAAUGCUAAAACACUCACUGUUUCAAAACUAUAGCCACAAAAUGUUACCAAUAUGUGUGUUAACAUGAAUUUAGUGUGAUAAAAUCGCUUUCUUACUUUUUCUGUGUAAAGUUAUAACCAAUUUUACAACUUUCUUGCCUUGACGAUGCCUGCUGUAAUUUCUAAAACCAUAAAAAUGAGGAUUUAAACAACUUUACAGCUCAAAUAACAACCUACUGUAUAUUUUGUACAUACUAUAUAUACUAUUUUUAUUCUAUGUUGUGUGUAUUGUAAACUGUACAUUGUAUAUUAUUAUUUGUAUAUUGUGUUGUGUGUAAUUAUGUGUAUAUUAGAUAUGUAAAUUGUGUUGUGUAAAUCUGAUGUUUAUUGUAGAUUGGUAUAUGUCUCAUCACUGUCGUGACUGCUAUGUUGCCCGGAACUGUACCCAAGACUUUCACCCACUAUUACACUUGUGUAUAUGGUUGUGUGACAAUAAAAGUGAUUUGAUUUUAAUAAUAUAUGAGUUGUAACAGAAUAAUUGAUGUAAGUGCUUUUUAUAAAAAUAUAAGCUUCACAUUGCUGCCUUUAAACCCUCAAAAAAAUGGCCCCAUUUACUUCCAUUGUAAGUGCCUCACUGUAAUCUCAAUUUUUAAUCAACAUUAUUAACUUGUCUUGAUCCUGGAAUAUUCCUUUAAAAAAUGCUUUAUGUACAUUAACAAACUAAUCAAAAUGUGAAUUUGUGAGCUACAUGUUGUCAAAUGAACAAACAGUCAGUAACUACACUGGUUUAAUUCUCAUAAUACAUUAAAGGAAUAGUUCACCCAAAAAUGAAAAUUCUCUCAUCAUUUACUCACCCUCAUGCCAUCCCAGAUGUGUAUGACUUUCUUUCUUCAGCAGAACACAAAUGAAGAUUUUUAGAAGAAUAUCUCAGCUCUGUAGGUCCAUAUAAUUCAAGUGAAUGGUGAUCAGACCUUUGUAGCUCCUAAAAUCAAAUAAAGGAAACAGAAAAGUAAUCCAUAAGAAUCCAGUAGUUAAAUCCAUGUCUUCUGAAGCGAUAUAAUAGGUGUGGGUGAGAAAGAGAUAAAAAUGUAAGUCCUUUUUUACUAGUUUUAAGUGAAACUAAACAGGCACCACAUGUGACUUUCAGAAGUGAAAGUGGAGAUUUAGAGUAAAAAAAAUUACUUACAUUUUGAUCUGUUUCUCACCUACACCAGUCAUAUUGCUUCUGAAGAUAUGGAUUACUUUUGUUUCCUUUAUGUGAUUUUUGAAAUUUCGAAGUUCUGUCCAACAUUUGCUUG